AAAAGACAGUUAAAGCCCAGACGACCUCGCCGCCUUACAGGCCUGCCACGUCACCGGACCCAAGGGUAAAACCGGUAAAAGCUGUCAGGGUACGCCCUACUCCGCAGGGUUAUAAAAGAAGGACGACUAGUCCUGUCACAUCCAUCGAAAAUCACGCUGACACGGCAAAGACACGAAGAGCUCGGCUAGGACACGAAGAGCUCGGCUAGGACACGAAGACCGAUCUCAGUCUAGAAAAGAAAAACGACCUCAAGCUUCAUUCAGCUCGGAAAACGACCUACAGUUCGACCUCAUCGACGACCUGAAAUCCUUAAUCCGAAGUCAUCGACCUCGGUUCGUCUAACGCCAUUCGUGCUUCGGCUCGAAUUGUUUUGGGAGAUUCUUUUUACUUCCCUAGAGAAACCCUAUUUCGUACUUGUGUGAUUCGUGCAUCAACAGUCAUGGCGAACGUGUUAAUAUUUUUGUUUGACAUAACACAAGCUCUCUCUUUGACUUCUAAUCUUUUUAAUUUAACACGUAAAUUACUUCUCUCUUUUUUUUUAUGACGUAUUAACGUUUAUUUCCAAACCUAAAGGGCUAAAGAGUAGCUUGAGCAUGCAGAUCAGAGAACAAAAGAAAAUCUUGUGUUACGCUUAUUUAAUCAUGUUUGAUUCCAUAUCUGUUGCUAAAGUUUUUUUUGGGGUGAUUUUGCAGGUUUUACGAUUGAUUUAUAAUGGCAAAGAUUUCGUAUCUUAUAUUUCUGUAGAGGUUGUGAGGGAAAAGAGAGAUCGAUAAUGAGAAGGUAGUCUCCUUAGUCUUUAUAUACCUUUUGUUCAUCGCAACAAUCUCAUCAUGUUGGCGUCUUAUCUCUUUUAUGGCUUAAGAUGAUUUAUCUUCUCAAGGUAUCCGAUCAACUAAAUUUGGUAUGUUCUGCCAUAAUGUUAUUUUCAUACUGACAUGAAUGCAUACAGCCUGCUAUAAAUCCGCCACAAGCUGCAGUAUUCAUAACAUUUGUGUGGUUUCCCCCGACGUUGAAGAAGAUUGACUCGACUCAAAUGGAUAAUACUAUCUAGACUGCAAUCCGCAUUCAGUAGUACCCCAAGUCUCUACUCAUGUUGAUUAAAGAUCGCUGAGUAAGUAUUCUGAGUUGUUUCCACCAAUUAGUUCGGCUUCCCAUUUUCCUUUCUGUGACAAGCCCCUCCUACUGUAUGAGUUGGUGAAGAGAGAAAGAAGAAUCCUGCAGAGGCAACGAUCGAGUUCCGGAGCUUGAGUGUAUUGUAAGCUCAUGGAAAAAGAAAAAAAGGCAGAAGAAAACAAAAUUGGAUUCUCCGAGAUUCAACCAAAGCCGCUAAGACAUUAUCGAAAUCGGAAUUGACACAUCGAAGGAAGUGGUCGGACGAAUUCCCUCUGCUAGGACAAGGAAAACCCCCUUCACCGAAGAACUGCAAUGUCGAAGCAGCAACAACACUAAUGAGCAUGAUAGUUAUAUACUAAAAUUAUUUUCUCUCUUAUUACCAUUGUUGAAGAUUCUGCUUGGCCAAAGUAAACGGUUUCUCCUCCAGGCAGAAGUAGCAGGUCUUCAAAGAGGGCGAAAACCUCACCACUCGGCUGAUGGAUUAAAGAAAUCACAGUUUUGCCACUGCUUGCUAUGUUUCUAAGAAUCUGAACCACGAAGAAAGAGGAGACUUGGUUUGGUUAAGACCUCGAGGGCAAUACUGAGCCGUUUCUUCUCUCCUCCGCUUAUUCCACGCAAAUGCCAGUUUCCAAUGGUCCUGUCUGAACAUUCUUCAAGACCCAUGUCAGUGAUUGUAGCUUCCGCAAUGUCACUGAUCUCUUCUCUGGUAAGCUUUGAAGAGAGCCUAAGAUGAGCUGAGUAAGAUAUGGAUUCUCUCACUGUUAAAGUUCCUAGCAACACAUCUUCUUACGUCACUUAAGCAUGAGAGUUUCUCAACAGUUUUCAAAAAAAAAAAAUUAAAGGAGUUAUUAUUUAGGGUUUAUGACAUUAAUGGAUAAUAGUUUGAUUAUGUAAAAAGGUAAAACUAAUGUUUGAAAGAUAGAUUUGCUUACGGCAGCACCAAAGUUAAGUCUUUUCUUCUUGCCAUUAACAAGAACUUUGCCACUCAUUACAACAUUCCCUUCUAAUUCCUGUACCAUCACCAAAUUUGUUAUAUUCAAAAUUUUACCUCUUA